UGCCUCCCAAACUUUUCAACACUGAGAAGAACCUGCAGAUGAAACUGUCUAUGAAAAAAGAGUGAAAUUGACUUUAUGGAUGUCCUUUGCCAUAACUGAGAGAAGGACAAAAAGGACACAAAGGUCCAAAUAUGCAAACUUGGGUGCCUAAAGUUAGGCAUCCAAAAUCAGUAUUUUAAGCACCUUAAUGAACGUGGGCUGAUUUUUCAGGGUUGUUGAGCAUUUGCAAUUAUUAUGGGUGCUCGGCACUUCUCAGCAGAGGGCCACUUUUAUUUGGGAAUUAUGGGUGGGAGUUAAGAUAAUGCCUAAGUGAUUUAGGUACACAUCCCAUUGGCUUUCAAUAGGACUUGUGCUCUCACAUCACUUAGAGUGGGAUUUUUGAAAACACCCAAGUUCCUGACUUUAGGCCUUCAUUUGGGAUAUAAGAGGCUGUUGUUCUGUCUAUCUAGCUAUUUUCCUUCUGAAGUCAGAGCACAUCUUUGUGAAGCAUUUGUGGAAAGUAAGAAUCUCCAGGGACUUGUUUCCAUAACAACCUCCUAGACUGUUUCUCUGUACCUUGUGACUUUGGCUACAAGCAAAAACACUGGCUAAAUAUUCCAAGUUCCCAGACACAAACAUCCCACUAUUACAGCUGUCUGGAAAAGGCUCUGGUGUGUGGGGGGGUGGGGGAGAUGGGGGGGGGGAGUCCCUGUGCUUACCAAAGAAGUCUGCUACCCACCCAAAUACAUCAAGCUCAAGACUGAUGUGUGUUACAAAUAUUUGAAGGCAACAUUUGAAAGCAGACAAUACAGGAAAUGGGAAGACACUCAAUCUGUAAAUCUUUGCAAACAGAGAGGUCAGUAGCCAUGGGAAGGGCAUCCUGAGACUGUCAGUCAAAUGGCUGGAGGGACAAAGGCCUGUGAAUUUGAAAUCAAUUGGAUGCCCCCUGACAGGAACCCUGAAAUAUAAAGCCAUGAAUUAAAUAAGAGUAACAAAACUUUCAAUUAUCUCAGCAGAAAAAGAAUCUUGCUGUUGAAGUGGCUAUUGAUUCUUUCCAAGCCCUUUUGCCGAAGAGAAUACUGUAGCCCUGGCUAUUUCCCUAAGGGAUAUUUUUGUACAAAAUCAAGCCAGGGCACAGCCCUUUUUGUUGUCUGGGGGAGGGGCGGAAGAAUUCUAAUGACAAUUAUUUUUUUGCCUCCUUUUGCCCUGCAGCAGUUUGGAAAUGCACAAAGAAUUGUUUUGUAAUGUUCCAAAGACAUUGAACUCUUGGGAGCUAAUGCACAGACACCCCCCGAGAGGAAAAUUUUAUUUCUUUCCUAUUGAAAUGUUACAACUCAGGCUUUUCAAGCAUUUUCCCCUGUGCCCUGCUCUUUGUGUUAGUAUCUACAGCUGGGGAGAAGACUCACUGCUGCUGUGGUGGUGAAAGUGAAUUGACUGGAAGCUUCUGCCAGGCCCAUCAGUUUAAUGUAGAAAGCUUCCUGUGGCAACAAAGAAGAGCGAGUCAAAGGGAAUUCAGUGCAGCAAGAACAAGGGCAGGGGGGAAAGUGUUUCUGCAGUGUGCUGGAGAGAACACAGAGUCCUCCUCAAAAGGAAAGGUGCAGACAGCUACCUCACCUGCUAUUGCAGAAGAACUAGCUUGUCUGGAAGAAGUAAAUCAAAAUCCAUGAAAGGUUUUUCACUCUGGGAUAAAGACUUAAAAGUGAGAAGGAAUACAACCAUACAAGACGGAAGCAUAGCUCACCAGUUAUUUCUGUCACAGAUUUGUAUUAGCUCUUCAAGCACUAAUGUGACUCAGAUGCCUGCAUCACACCAGUACUAAGCACUUCAAAUCUGGCAGGAUUGUUUUCUCAUGUAUUCUUAAUGGCAUCAUUAAAAAACCUAGUGUCUGAUCCUC